AAAUAGGCUGGAUGCAAUGUUGUGCUAGCCUCUGGAACAAUGCUAAAGAAAUCACUGGUUAAGCCCUGAUGGGCCAGUGGAGUUUUGGUGUGAAGGUGUGAGGCUGGUGGACUGGCAAAAAUGCUAAGAAAUAAAGUGAUACAAGUUUGAAUGGCAUUAAGAACUUGGAGGAAAACAUUACAAGGACAAGAGAAGCGGGGCAGCCAGUGUGCGAGCAAGCGAUGACCGAGGAAUCAAGCCACAGGUGGCAGAAGAAGCAACAACUGCCUCCUCUUCUCCUCCUCAGACAGCAGCACUUGCCUCCUCUAGGCUGCUGACACCAUGCCUGAUGGUUUCUCCUGUCUCAACAGAGUUCCAUGACAUGGCCGUUACUGAGUCAGAGUUCCUCAACAUGGCCGCCGCCGAGCCAGAGUCAGCUCCAGGCCAUGUCACAGUUGCACCAGAGUCAGCUCCAUGCCAUGUCACCACCGCUCCUGAGUCUGCUCCAUGCCAUGUCACUGCCAAACCUGAGUCUGCUCCAUACCAUGUCACCGCCAUGCCUGAGUCUGCUCCAUACCAUGUCACAGCCAAGCCCCAGACUUCUCCAUGCCAUGUCACAGCCGAACCUCAGUCUGCUCCAUGUCAUGUCACAGCCAAGCCCCAGACUGCUCCAUGCCAUGUCAUAAGCAAGCCUCUGCUCCACGUUCCAGGCCAGCCUCUGCUCCACAGUCCAGGCCGCCUCCUCUCCACGGUCCAGGCCCGCCUCUGCUCCACAGGGGACCUCCAUCCCUACAACUCCACCUUGGUCCUCAGCCACAUUGGCUCCACCCCUCGAGUCUCUCACCCCCCAGACUCCACCUUGAUCCCAUGCUCCACGCCCUGCUACGUCAAGUUGCCACCUCAUAACAUUUAUAUGCAUAAGAAAACGUUAAACCUGUGUUGUUAUAUUUUUUUGUUUAUUUGUUUGGCUGGGAAACUUAUGUAACAUAUAGGGGCAAAGUUGUUUUAUGUAAACACGCGGCCUGAUGUUGAGUGAGAAAAAAAAGAAAAAGUGUGUUGAGAAAAAUAUCAUGCUCCUGUAUAUAUCCAUGCCUGUUGUAGUCCUGAAUCCUUUGCAAAAGAAAAGAAAAAAAGACUGGGGCGAAUACAAUUUGAAACAAAAAGCAGUUGUCCUUAUAAUUUUGAAGAGUGCAACAAUAGCAAAGAAACUGUUGCAUGUCAUCGAGCAACCCACAGAUUGACUCAUAUUAAACAUAUUUACCUUUUGAGCAGCAGUGAACAUACCUAGCAAACUAUAAGACUAAUGAGCUAGAACUUGCUUAACAUAAACAGCUGUUUUUAAAGUCAAAUUGAAAUAAUCUUAGUUUGCCUUGUAUUACUGUCAUCUAAAACUUGACCAUUGCUUGGUCCUUUUACAGUAACAAAAGACACUUUCACCUAAAAUGACUGUGAUAUGAGCAGUGAGACAGAUCCAUGUACCAGCGCUUGAUGCACAUUAUUGUUUACAUUUUUUUUUAUUAUAUUUGACACAAAUUACAUGAUGAAUAACUGAACAUUUUCAGUAACUUUUUGUUUAAUAUGUUCAGCUUUAACUUGUGCUCCAAGACUGAAAUGUGCAUUGCAGACCAGGUUAGAUGUGUAGAAUAAUCAAACAUUUAUGAAAACAUUUACCAGAGGAAAGUUUAUAGUUAGAUGAACCACCAAGGGCAGGUGGGUUACUACAAUGGCAUCUCAUAACUUAGAAAGUAUGUCAGAGACUGUCUUUCUGUUUAUAGACUGUAAAAUGAAGAUAAUAAAAGGGUCAUAAUUACAGCCCAGCACCAUAACUA